rnacentral:tRNA from 1 species
AUUAUUUUGGCAGAUUAGUGUAAUAGAUUUAGAAUCUUUAAAAGUAAAAUUAUUUUACAAAUAAUA